UACAGAGGGGGCAAGCGUUGUUCGGAAUUACUGGGCGUAAAGGGCGCGUAGGCGGCCUGUUAAGUCGAACGUGAAAUCCCCGGGCUCAACCCGGGAACUGCGUCCGAUACUGGCAGGCUUGAAUUCGGGAGAGGGAUGCGGAAUUCCUGGUGUAGCGGUGAAAUGCGCAGAUAUCAGGAGGAACACCGAUGGCGAAGGCAGGUCUCUGGGCCACUACUGACGCUGAGAAGCGAAAGCGUGGGGAGCGAACAGG
rnacentral:rRNA from 1 species